CAGCUACCUUGGAUACAAAUGUUUGCUCAGUAGAGCAAUCCUUUUCAAUAAUCCCUGCAAGUAUUAAUGAAAACUAGCUGUAUCCUUAAGACUGACUUGCAUGUAUUUCUAAAUGCUUACUGUUACAUUUUAGUUCUGUUUUAUCCUUAAUUUUGCUGUUUGUACCUGUAAGUUACAGCACAGCAUGAGUCCUUCUGCAGUAACCUUGGCAAAAUCCUGAAACAAAACCUAAAUCUUGUGUAUUUUCAUAUUACGAUAACUUUUCCAUUAUCAUUUGAAUGAAACAAACUAAUGUGACUUAUAUUUUUUUUCAGUUCAUAAACAGACUGUUGUAACACUCCCAAUAAUUCUAAGAUGAGCAUAGUAAGGGUGCUUAUACUGAAGAUUACUGCCCCAGGAAUUGCACUGCAUGAUUGGAUAUUAAUCAUUGUCACUCAGUGAUAUCUUGAGAUCUUUCUGAGUUCAUUCUUCC
rnacentral:lncRNA from 1 species